UUUGAUGAUAUGUCCAUCUACUAUCUAAAUAAGAACAGUAUCAUGGGAAAUGUGGCCCAGAGUUCACUUAAGAUCCGUAGCAGGCUCCUGCCUGCAGCUUCCAGAUCGGCAGCCACAAAUGAGUUGCAUUAAGAUUCUCUUCGGUGCUAUAGAGCCAUCUGGGUCUGCGUUACACGCGGGAGUGUUGAAGACCUCCCUGGAUUGAAUGCUGGUGCUGUGUGCUGUUUAGGACCAAUGCACUGUGUAAAUUAUAAACCAAGGCAGCUCUGAAGCAGUUUAGCAUGCUUGCACAUGGAAGGACACAGUGAAGAUGGCGACCUGCAGUUCUCCCUUUACAAACCCACCCCUCCCCUCCUGCUUCUAUGAGGGUACUCACUCAUCCACUUCCGCCUCACCACCCUAGCAUUCUUCUAUGCUGGGGCAUCAAGCCUUCAAAGGACCAAGGGCCUCCUCUCUCAUUGAUGCCAGAUUGUAGCCUCCCAUAAGCCUGAAACAGGCUAAACCAGAACCUGACCUUGCUGCCACUAAGAAGAUUAUCUAGGGUGGAGCCUUCCUCCCUAGAUCACGCUAUUGUUCUGCCACUGCUGCUGUUCCUCUUCAAGAUACUGCUACCUGCUGAGAGGCCCCGGAGCUAUUCUGGAGAUUAUGCCCUAUCGUGCACAUCAUUACCUGCAGCUGGUUCCAGGUUCCAAGGAUGAAUUGGAGGGAAUGGACUUAACCCCCUCUUUUAUAAGGCGUGUUCCCCAACAUUAAAAUUUGAACCUUGAUCAGAACCCUGUCUUGGUUCCAUCUUCCUCUCCUCGCCUAGUUUCCCUCUUUUUCAUUGCUGGCCUACUAUACAGGUGUACCCGUCCUUGUGAGCCGCUAGAUGGCUCGCAACACCAGAUAAGGCCAUCUUCUGCUACAUAUGCAGCUGGAGCCAUGGGUCCCUCCAUGUGUAUUCUUUGGUUGGUGGUUUAGUCCUUGGGAGCUCUGGGAGGUCUGGAUGGUUGAUAUGAAAGAAAAUAAAACUUGAGACCUGUGAUUCAUGUAAUGUAUGUCAAAUAGCCCAAAGACUUGUUUGUGAGCUUUGAAACCUGGGGCUGAGAACAUAGAAGAACAGGCCAGGACAUGCCUGGGCAGGCCCCUCAUUAAGACAUUCCUGAGGCUGCUUGGCCAUGAAGAUAAAGAGAAUGCAUGUCCAGACUGGCCCAGCGCCUCCCUAUCUCCCGCCCUGCUGACCUAAGUUAAAUGUUAUCUGCAUGUACAGUCUGCUGAUGUUUAAAUGGACCAAUCAUGUGAAACCUCGCCAAAUCCUCCCCCAGCCCCAGCCCCUUUUCUAUAAAAAUCCCUAGCUUCCAAGCCUCAUGGUCGAAUCAACUGUCUCCUGCGUGAGAUUCGUUUUGACCCAGAGCUCCGCCAUUAAACUACCUCGUGUUUUUACAUCAA